AUGGAUUCUAUCUUGGCGAAUGAAACUUGGGAGAUAACUGAUUGUCCUUAUGGGUGCAAACCUAUAGGAUGCAAAUGGGUAUUCAAGAAGAAGCUUAGGCCUGAAGGUACUAUUGAAAAGUACAAGGCUCGGCUCAUGGCAAAGGGUUAUACCCAAAAGGAAGGUGAAGACUUCUUUGAUACUUACUCACCUGUGGCUCGACUGACCACUAUUCGAGUUCUACUUUCACUAGCUGCCUCACAUGGUCUUCUCGUUCAUCAAAUGGAUGUUAAGACUGCUUUCCUAAAUGGAGAGUUGGAUGAGGAAAUUUAUAUGGAACAACCAGAUGGGUUUGUAAUAGAUGGCUUUGUUGUGAACGAAGCUGACAAAUGUGUCUACUAUCACCAUGGUGGGGGCGAGGGAGUUAUGCUUUGCUUGUAUGUUGAUGACAUACUGAUUUUCGGAACAAAUCUGAAUGUUAUUAAGGAGGUCAAGGAUUUCCUAUCUCGCUGUUUUGAGAUGAAGGAUUUAGGAGUGGCUGAUGUCAUUCUGAACAUCAAGUUGUUGAGAGAUGAUGAUGGUGGGAUUACAUUGCUUCAAUCUCACUAUGUGGAAAAGAUCUUGAGUCGCUUUGGUUAUAGUGACUGCAAGCCCUCUCCAACACCAUAUGAUGCUAGCGCGCUGCUUCGAAAGAAUCGAAGAAUUGCUAGAGAUCAAUUGAAGUAUUCUCAGAUUAUGGGCUCGCUUAUGUACUUAGCCAGUGCUACAAGACCUGACAUCUCUUUUGCUGUUAGCAAACUGAGUCGUUUUGUUUCAAAACCAGGAGAUGUGCAUUGGAAAGCUCUAGAGAGAGUUUUGCGUUAUUUGAAAGGCACUGCAAAUUAUGGAAUUCACUACACUGGGCAUCCAAAGGUGCUUGAAGGGUAUAGUGACUCAAACUGGAUCUCAGAUGCUGAUGAGAUAAAGGCCACGAGCGGUUAUGUAUUCACUCAUGGAGGUGGCGUUGUUUCUUGGAAGUCUUGCAAGCAGACCAUCUUAACGAGGUCAACAAUGGAAGCAGAACUCACAGCACUAGAUACAGCUACGGUCGAAGCAGAUUGGCUUCGUCAGCUCUUGAAUGACUUACCGGUAGUUGAGAAACCUGUACCGAGUAUCCUUAUGAACUGUGACAAUCAAACUGUGAUCACUAAAGUGAGUAGUUCAAAGGAUAACAUGAAGUCAUCAAGACACGUUCAGAGAAGGUUAAAGUCUGUCAGGAAAAUGAAAAACUCUGGAGUUAUUGCAUUGGAUUAUAUCCAAACGUCUAAAAAUCUGGCAGAUCCUUUUACUAAGGGUCUAUCACGUAAUGUGAUAGAUAAUGCAUCGAGGGAGAUGGGUAUGAGACCCACAAUAUGA
rnacentral:rRNA from 1 species